AAUACAAGGAGGAAUGGCAUGAAUAUUCAAUCAGGUGUCUGAAUUUUUUUUUAAUGAUAUUCUAGCUAUGGUGUUUCAGGUAGCUGAAGCACAUACAGUACCAGGCAAUGUCCUCUGUGGGUUAUUUACCAUAAAUGCCAAGUCAGUGCUUUGAUUUGUUUUCCCACUCCAGUCAUUUAUCUCACCCCAGCACUUUACAGUUAUUGCACCAAACGUGGUUUUACCGCCUACUAAUGGUACGAAAAUAUGCACCAAUUAUUGUCUGGUUAUGGGAUAUCCUAUUCAGAUGGAAUUCCAUGAAUAAUUUAUAAUUGUACGUUAUAAUUGCUUGCUAAAUAUAAAUCUCUCACUACUUGAUCUAUCUUUCCAGCCAAGCUAACCCCUGGCUUGAUCUACAGCAUAGAAAAUGGGAUGUGAAGAUCAGCUCUCUGCUUUGAGGGAAAUUGCUGCAGUGAGCCCUUCUAUAAAGGGUGUAUUUAAACCCACCCCCAGUGCUUUGCAUGCAAGACAGGUUUCAGCUCAAAGCACUUAUCAGACACUUCUUGAGAAUACUAAAAUAUGUCGAUGAACUAUACAAUCAGGAACUUAUAGGAUGAUGUAUAGUAACCCUUGAUAACAUACAAAUCAUUGUUUUUUUUUGUAUUUUUUUAAGACCACAGUAGUGGCUGCACAAAUAAUUGAACAAUGCGUCAUUCACUAUUAAGUAUGUAUGACUCGGUGUGCCAAAAUCAGCAUAUAUUUUAUCUCAUUGUAUCCUGGUGCUACUGGAGAACGUAUAUUUGUGACAAUGGAGUGACAGCACCUCUGCUAAAACUUUGGCAAGUACAGCACAGAUGUACUUAUUUUAAAAAGCAUUGUUACAAAGUAAUCAUCAGUACAUUAUGUAUAAUGGGGUGUAAUGAUCAAGGUUGUUGGUCCAUUACCCAGACUAUCUCACAUUCAGAAUCUAAUUUGGCAUUGCUUGUUGGUGAAAGUUAAAGAGGUUCGUGACAAUACUGAGCAACUGAAGCUGAUGUGUUGCGAAGAGUGUAGCAAAAAGCUUGAUAAUGGUAUUACAGGUUGUCUGGAAUCCUAUGCUAAAUCCAAAAUAAGUUAUUCCAAAUUUGAAUACAGAUACGCUGAAUCAUGUCAGUACUUACUAUUUCUUUACCAAACCCAUUAUUGUAAAAUUACCCUGAAUAUAAAACUAUUUUAUUGUUUUACACUUUUUCAAGCUUCAGUAAUACACCAAUGCAAAUUAAUUUCCCAGGCCAAAUCUGAAAGUGCACAUUACAUUCAAGAUUAUCAUGAAGGCUAGUACAGUACAUCACACAAGUGAGCUCAAACAUUAUAACUAAGCAGCAAGACCUAUUCUAAAUGCAAAUUACAGGACUCAUCAUUUGAAUCUGGAUAUUAAAAAAAAGACUGGGAUGGUUACAUCCGAGUGCCAGACAAAAAGUUCACCCUGCAAUAUUUGCCUGCUUAUUAUCUUGCAUAUAUUAAAACAGACUUGUAUAGAUGUACUGCAGUUCAUUAACUUAUAAUCCCUCUAGCGUAAGCACCGCAGGGCAUUGUGUUUUUCCAGUACUGGAAUUCCACUACAGUAUGUUCAUUUAUUGCUAGGAAUAGAUCCUGUAUUCAUUCAAAAUUGCUUCUUAAAAUACUCCUGUGUUGUACAUAGAAGCCUGUGCAACACUGAUAUGUAGGACAAAAACAACAUUGGUGGCAGUAUACUAGAAUCCAGAAAUACAAGACAAGGACACUACACUUCAAGUGACAGCAGGGAUAUUGUGUAGUAUCAAGCCUGUUGGCAGUAGUUAAUUCCUCAUUUGUUUAAUUUGAAAACCAGGGAAGAUCUACUGAAGCAGUCAUCUAAUUUUCAAGUUAAAUUCACGCUUCUGAAUUAUUCUAUGAGCUACAAUGCACAACAGCAACUACAGAUAUUAAAAUAUAGAAGGGUUUAGUUUGUUACUGUUAUACAUGAGACAUUUUAUUGAUCUAGCUGCUCACAUGGAAAGAGCAGGAGACAUUUUCACACAUGCCAAGUGAGCAUGCUGUGUCUCCUAAUGUGUGCAAUAGACAGUUUUUAUCAAAAACUUUGCAUCACUUACUCAGCAAGUGCCUUAGUGCACAUACUUUCAAAUCUUGGUUUAGACUCCUAAUGAAGAUGAUUUAGCAUAUUUAUUUUCUUCAAAAUACACAAUACAUUUGUGGAUAGUACUGACUAUUCAGCACGGAGAAUCCGCUAUGAAUGAAUGGCAAUGAAUGAAUGAUGAUGAUUGCAAUUGCAGAUGAUUUAUGAACUGUGAAGGGCGCUCAGGGCCCGAGUGAAAGAUAAAUUUGGCCGGAGGCCUCAUCCGUGGGUGCCCGAUGGCUACCUGCGCGAGGCUGGCUGGAAAUACUUGAACAGUUAAAUGUGUCCCAAUUUCGCAGAUAGGAAGUGGCUGUGGUCACCUCCCCCCGAAAAGACGAGGCCAUCAAACUAUGAAUGAAUAAUAAUAAAUAAUUAACACGCUCCACAGUGGCGCCCUGCCACCUAUGCCCCAUAUUGAAAUUAAUAAAAAUCAACAGCUGAGACACGGCCCCUCCCCCAGAGCAUGACUGCGCUGGAGGAGAGAGCUCAGCCUGUCCAACCCGAUCACUCACCCCGCAGAACUAAAUACGAACCGCUCAGCACUCAGUUAAGGAAAAAAACCCUACUCACAUAUUUUUAAAUUUUAGGGGGAAACCUCAGGGAAUCCUUGGCUGAGGGCAGCCCUUCCUCCAGGCUCUAAGCGGUCAACUCCCGUUUCGGCCUCCCAGCGCUUGACUGAGUGGCCGAAACAAAAAGAAGCGAGAAACAAAAAAGAAGCGACAUGAAAGAAUAACACACAAAGCUUUUAUGUGCUUGCUGAUGAUGUAUUGGUUAGGGGCGGAUUCUCCUUUGCAGAAAAGCAACCAAGUUUACAACUGGUGAUUUUCCGUGGGAAAUAUAUACAUAUAUUCAGGAGCACCCCCAGAAAUCUUUCACAUGGUACGCAAAACUGAACCACACCGACAUCCCAUCUCGUGCUGAUAACGACUGCAUCAACAUGCUGUAAAGUGUUUCAGCCAAUCAGAGUGCUGCAUUUUUGUUCUUUCCUGAGUUGCAACUACACUGUCACAUUAGAAAACUGCAAUCAAAUUGUAUCACUGUUUGCCUUUCUAAAAAUGAAUAAAAACAGCGUACUGUGUUUUAUCUUACACGUUGUGAUGAAAUAGGCAGUUAAAAUAAAACAUUAUUAAUAAUAAUAAUAAUAAUAAUAAUAAUAAUAAUAAUAAUACAACUUGGCAAUUAUGUGUUAAUGAUUAGGACAUGUAUUAUUCAUUUUAAUAUAAGACACAGACAAAUAAAAAUGAAACUUGCAUAAAUGUGCACUUACCGUGCUUAAUCCUGGAAGAGCAGCAGAAUUCAGGUAAUGCAAGACUAACAUUCAAUGCUGCUAACGUAUUUUCGGCGUUUAAAACUCCACCACCGUUAGUGCCAGAAACAGACAGUUUGGUGCUUUUACUGAUUUUUUCCCUGUGGCAUUCUGGGUCAUCAGAAGAAAGAUUUUCGCUCUUUUUAAGGCUUCACCCAACACCUGCUUCCGUUUGCUCUUUACUGCCACAUAAUAAACAGUACAAUCCUAUAAGCUUAAAAUGUCUGUUUUGCUUCAACCGAUCGAACAAGAUUAUAUGCCAACAUUUUGCAAACCAGUAUUACGCACAAUGCUUAAUGUGCGUACAGCUAUGGGCACCAAUGCAUAUAUUUGUUACCAUAUAUACAGAUGACAUCAAAAAAGUUUACAGUUUUAAUUUAUUCCAAAACCUAUUCCUUGUGAAGUCUGAGUCCUUUUUUAAAAUCUUUUAGUAAAAGCUUUUGAAAAUAUUUUAUAUCCCAUGUUUAACAUAGAGAUGGGUCAAGAUUGAUCAAUAAAUAAAUAAAAAACACACACAUGGCAUAAAUUCCAAGAUAUAAUCCAGUUUUGCCACCAUCUGUAAACCAGAUCCUCAGGACACGUUUUGCUUUUAGAAAUAGGGUUUGCUAAAAGAUGUCCUUGGAUGCCGCAUGCCCCAUCUAUCUGUUUAACAGACAAAUUUGUCUUUCCCCAGCUACAAUUACAAUCCCUUCACGCUGGACGAUGUUUUAUUGCUGGCCAGUAUGACAGGCUGUCCAAGCCCUGCUUCAUUUCUUGAAGUGAACUUGGUCUGAGGAGACAACACACAGAAAUUAUAUUCCCGGAGUCCCAUUCUUGGGUCUAUCCAUCUGCCUUGGCACUAAGGAGAAGCCCCGGGAAGCCUGCGGCCUUGCAGUUUGUAAAGCAUUGGACGAUCUUCCCCAGGCAAAGCAAGCUAUUUGAAAGAAACAGUUGUUUCUGCAGCCUCAGUACAGGAGGGGUCCUUUGACUGGUGAUGAACUUGACUGCUUUAGUGAUUUUACACCAGAUGUAAUCCCCACAACAGCUCAGGAGAACUGAAGGUCAAUGGGCAUCCCCCGAUUGCAGGACCAAGCCAAUUGUUUCUUUACCCCCAGAGACUCUAUAUGGAUGUCAGCAAGCUACCAUCACCUGGAGGAAAAAGGCCAGCCAUUCAGGUGUUUGCUUUAAGCUCAUUCAGAAUCUGGUCAGCUGGGUUUGCUGUAGUGUAGUGAGGAGAAACCGCCAUAUCCCCAUCAUAGACCAGCAACUUUGCACAGCCAGGACCCAAACAUGCCUUCCCAUGACUGUGUGACUAACCCUGCACACCAAAUGGACAUGCCUUUAUCAGGUGAGUCACUCAGGGACCCAUUUAAUGAAAUCAAUAACAUUUGGCUUUGCAAGCACAUCAAUGUAGAGAUCAUGUUUACAUCUCUUAUAAACAUGAUUUCCUCUCUGUUACGUCAUUUGUCAAAGCAUGCUGUUCCAAGUUGAUUUCUUCCUUAGCUGUCGUUUGUUUUGAAGAUGUGCCAAACAAUUAAAAAAAAAAAAAAAAAAAAAAAAAAACAGUUCUGUAUUUAUAAAGACCUUGGAUGAUGAUACCCCCCAAAACCCCAAUGUGCAUUGUAUUAAAAGCGAUUGUCCAGAAGCCAAGUUGAAUUCUGAAGUGCUAAUUACACUUAAGUAAAGAAAUUAUGCGUUUUAAAGCAAAUAAGAUUUUUACAUUAACAUAACUUAACAAAACAUUUAGCUCUGUUUGCUGGGUCAUAUUGCAACAUGUAUGAUCAUUUUGUUACUGCACGGCUUUGGUUUUGAUUGCAAAACAAUAGAAUAUAUAUUUUUAUUACAGCCUCCUUGCCAAAUACUAAAUUUGUUCUGCAUUUCUGAAGGUUGAGAUGCACUGCUAAAAAAUAUUAGACACUAUAAUUUAAGUACGAUAAUUACAUUAAUCAUGAUAACAAUGAAUGUUGUUUCAAUUGAAAUUAUCCAAAUGCAUGAAUUAGCACUGAGUUACUUUGAGAGUAUUAUUGGUUCAAACAUUUUACAAUGAUACCUAAUAAUUUACUUAGGGUGUAUAGACCAAAUUAAGUUAACGACAUGUUAUUCAUUUAGGAAUGUUGUGCCCAUUGUAUUAUUAUUAUAUAUUUUUAACAAGAGCCCUUUGCUCUUUGUUAUAAUACAUCUAUAAUUUAGUCUCUCUCUGUCAACAUAUAUAUAUAGGCUUCUAACACACAACUAAUUAAGUUAUGGUAAGAGUACGAGUAUGGGGAAUGCUUGAAGUGAUGUAAGCUAUGAAACAUACCAGAAAUAAAUUGUAAGGAAUGCAAAAGUAAGCAACAGCAAAGCACAAUAUGUUUCUUACAGAACAAAAUAUUUGUAUUAUUAGAGAAGAUGGGGUGAAUAGGGAUCCAAUAAAAACAGUACCUCUGAGCAGUUACUUUUAAAAGUAAUCAGAAUUUUGUUUUCCUGACUAUGUUAAAUCUUUAACCUUCCCACCAAGGUUUGAGUUAUUGUUUUUAAUUCCUUAGUUAGUUGUUUUUGUUCCUCACUUUUGCUGUUGUUACUAUUUUGUGAUGAAUUACGAGUAUACAGUACAAUGUAUUCAAGGACGAUAGCUGUAACCAAGUUUGUCGCAACAUAUAGAGAUUAUCCAGUUGAGUUUCAAAUCUUAGAUAAGCACAAUAUGUAUAAGAGAACUAAUAUAUUUUAAGCACGCUAAAUAAAGAAUAUCAUUAUUGUACAAUUUUCCACUUUUGAAUAACUUGUUUUUAAAGCACAUGUCAGAUUUGCGUAAUAAUGCCGGAAAUUCUACUUUCAAAUAAUGUAAUUUCUUCCUGAAGACAGAUAAUAUCGUUUAGAUCAAACUAUCAUUUAAGCCUGCCCACUGUGCGAUUUUAAUUUAAGAGAAAUACAACAUUUAAGAUUAAUGGUAUUAAUCUACAAAGAUAAAGUGCAGUAGAGGGUCACAUCUUUUAGUGUUGGUCUCAGCCUGUGACAGAGAGCGAAUGAAUCCUAGUCAACAAUCUCCCUCCCGACCUGUGAGGGUGCGGUAUAACAGGAACAGUGUGCUUAGUACUGGAUGGUUCGGCAGUUCAUUCCAGGGUCAGUUGGAAGCCGGCCAUCCAGGAAGGGGGCGGAGUCACAAUACCAGAAGUCAUCGCCCUAGUAUGGUAAGCGAUGUGCCAGUCAUGGAUUGGAGGAGACGUGAUUGAACUAGCUAUUGGAUGGGGCGUGACUAAGGGUAUUUUAGGGGAUGUGACGAUGCAAUCUGUUCCUUUGUUGUGGUUUUACGAAAGGACCAGGAAGGAGUAAAAAUGAAACCGUGAGUGUUUAUAUUUGUUUUGUUAACCACUGUUUAUUUGUAUUUAGUAGACGGCUAACAACUAGGAGCUGUCAGAUUCCAAAUACUGCACUAGUCACCAAUAAUUGUGUAUUCAUCACCAGCACUGGAGCACCGCGAGAAAGGAUGCAGAGCCAUGCUUGUAUUAUUGUAUUAUUAUUUCAGGACUGUUUUGCUUAGCUGUGCAAUUACACAUUGCUGUAUUUAAAAUUAAAAGAACUGUUUGGA